UCGUCUCUUGCCUCGCUCGGUCUGCCGCUUUCACUCGGCUAAUCUUGAGCUGGAUGCAACCCGUCACUUUCGAGUACGGGAUGUAUGAGACAAGAAGAAGUGUGGAAACAUACUUCGACGCUUUUUGAGUACGGUUUUAUCUGCAUUGCACCACGGAUAUGCACCGUAAUUUAUCAGUCGGAACAUUC
rnacentral:snoRNA from 1 species